rnacentral:rRNA from 1 species
GACGAACGCUGGCGGCGUGCUUAACACAUGCAAGUCGAACGGAAAGGCCCUGCUUGCGGGGUACUCGAGUGGCGAACGGGGGAGUAACACGUGGGUGAUCUGCCCUGCACUUCGGGAUAAGCCUGGGAAACUGGGGCUAAUACCGGAUAGGAGCCAUUUUUAGUGUGAUGGGUGGAAAGUUUUUUCGGUGUAGGAGGAGCUCGCGGCCUAUCAGCUUGUUGGUGGGGGAAUGGCCUACCAAGGCGGGGACGGGUAGCCGGCCUGAGAGGGUGGACGGCCACAUUUGGACUGAGAUUCGGCCCAGACUCCCACGGGAAGCAACAGUGGGGAAUAUUGCCCCAUGGGCGCAAGCCUGAUGCAGCGACGCCGCGUGGGGGAUGACGGCCUUCGGGUUGGAAACUCCUUUCGCUAGGGACGAAGCUUUUUGUGACGGUACCUAGAAAAGAAGCACCGGCUAACUACGUG